GCUAGCGAUGUGUCGGGUCGUUUCGCCCGUGUGUGUGCGCGCGCGUGAGCUCAGUGAGUAGCGUCGUCAUAUUGUUUCGCCGGAAUCAAAGCGCAGCGCAGACGACCUCCAGGAUGUUUAUAAAGUGUAGUGAACGUGGAAUUUUGAUUAAGGUUGUAUUUUGUGGAUAAGCGAUGUGGAUAAAUUGAUGUUUUUUACAUGAAAAGAAGAAAAAAGGACAAAAAAGAUCUUGUGAUAUAACAAAAAAACUGAUUUUUUGUAUAGUGAGUGUUAAGUUGAAGUGGAUUUGUGUCAUUGAAGAUUGAGGAGAAAAUAUCUGCAUUGAAAAGGUGCGAGGAGCGUGAGGCAGAACCCGAGAUUCGCUCUGCAAGGAUGCACAGCUGAGGAGCGGCGUGAAGUAACUUGAACAAAGUGAAUGUCAUGAAGUUAGUUUUAAACCCGGAAAAGGUAAGUGAGUACAGAUGGUGAAUGUUAAUGAGUUUACUUGUACUAGAGUUGAGGCUUUAAGGCCCAGCAUGUGUGAUGGUGGCUGUUCCUCUUGCUAUAAUAUGCUUCCUGGUUUUAGAGCGUUGGUUUCCAUUAAAUGAAACAGUCUUCAUUCUUUAUUCUUGAUUAAUGUAAGUUGUAGUCAGUAGCUGUCUUAAGGUAACGAAAGGAAAUAGUAAAAUCUGGCAUCUACUCGAAGUAAGCCGGCAAUAUCAAUACAAAUUUAUCACCUGCCAUGUAAAUUCUACUGCCGGGGGGCAAAUUUACUCUCUGGCUUUAAAAUAUCACCCUCCCUGUUCUAAGUAAAGAGUACCUUAGCUA